rnacentral:rRNA from 1 species
AUUGAACGCUGGCGGCAUGCCUUACACAUGCAAGUCGAACGGUAACGGGCCUUCGGGUGCCGACGAGUGGCGAACGGGUGAGUAAUAUAUCGGAACGUACCUUUCAGUGGGGGAUAACGUAGCGAAAGUUACGCUAAUACCGCAUAUUCUGUGCGCAGGAAAGCAGGGGACCUUCGGGCCUUGCGCUUAUUGAGCGGCCGAUAUCAGAUUAGCUAGUUGGUGAGGUAAAGGCUCACCAAGGCGACGAUCUGUAGCGGGUCUGAGAGGAGGAUCCGCCACACUGGAACUGAGACACGGUCCAGACUCCUACGGGAGGCAGCAGUGGGGAAUUUUGGACAAUGGGGGCAACCCUGAUCCAGCCAUGCCGCGUGAGUGAAGAAGGCCUUCGGGUUGUAAAGCUCUUUCGGCCGGGAAGAAAUCGUAUGGGCUAAUACCCUGUGCGGAUGACGGUACCGGCAUAAGAAGCACCGGCUAACUACGUGCCAGCCGCCGCCGUAAGAC